rnacentral:lncRNA from 1 species
GAAACAUACAGCAAUUGUACUGUGUGAAAAAAAGAGUUCAUAUUUUAUCAGACGGUCACAAAAUAGAAACAGUAUUUGUUGUUGCUAGAAAGUUUCCAACUGUUCUGAGACCAGUCAGAUGUUAGUGUAGAUAUGAGCUGAUUCCUAGAAGUGAGACUUUCUGCAGCAACAUUAUGGACUGAAGUUUGAACACACCAUAGUUUUACAUUACUGAGCUGUGAGGCUGAGAAUGAUUGGGUGAAUUCAUGAUGAUGUAUCUGGGUGGAGACUUCCUGAGAAGAGGAUAAAGUAGAGGGGAAACACUUUGUCUGAUCACAUUUCUACAUAACGUCUGUGCUUCUCUGGGUUUAAGAUGCAGCUUCGUGGAAUCCUGACCGUCCUGUUUAUGAGUCUGUGCACAGCUCAUGGAUUAAGAUGCUUUUCAUGUAUAACCACCGACCCUAGUACCUGCACAGGCACAAUCACUUGUCCAGCUGGAUUCAACUGCUGUUCCUCCCUCACUUUGUUUGGUAUCCUCAGUAAGGGCUGUUACGUUGAUGCACUGUGUUUAUCUCCAAUGAAAUGCUGUUCAUGGGACUUGUGUAAUGCUUUCCUACAUACUGGUCCCAAUGCAAAAGAAACAGAACUGAACAAGAACAAACAGCUGAUCUGACUAAUGAAACUACACAAUAAAAAGGUCUUGUACCACCGGUCUGACAUGAGGACAGCUUCCUGCAAGAGCCCCAUUGAUUUCAGCUGUGACAGAGGAACAUUGUUUCGUUUAACUUUAUACUCGACUGUAAAAAUUGGGAUGACAAUAAAAAACAUAAAACAUUGUUGGUUUAUUUCUUA